rnacentral:rRNA from 1 species
GACGAACGCUGGCGGCGUGCUUAACACAUGCAAGUCGAACGGAAAGGCCCUGCUCUUGUUGGGUGCUCGAGUGGCGAACGGGUGAGUAACACGUGAGUAACCUGCCCUUGACUUUGGGAUAACUUCAGGAAACUGGGGCUAAUAUCGGAUAGGAGCUCUUGCUGCAUGGUGGGGGUUGGAAAGUUUCGGCGGUUGGGGAUGGACUCGCGGCUUAUCAGCUUGUUGGUGGGGUAGUGGCUUACCAAGGCUUCGACGGGUAGCCGGCCUGAGAGGGUGACCGGCCACAAUGGGACUGAGAUACGGCCCAGACUCCUACGGUACGCAGCAGUGGGUAAUAUGGCAGAAUGGGCGGAAGCCUGAUGCAGCAGCGCCGCGAGCGGGAUGACGGCUUUCUGGUUGUAAACCGCUUUCGCCGGUGACGAAGCGUGAGUGACGGUAAUGAGUAAGAAAGCACCGGCUAACUACGUG